GAUGAACGCUGGCGGCGUGCCUAAUACAUGCAAGUCGAGCGAACGGACGAGAAGCUUGCUUCUCUGAUGUUAGCGGCGGACGGGUGAGUAACACGUGGAUAACCUACCUAUAAGACUGGGAUAACUUCGGGAAACCGGAGCUAAUACCGGAUGAUAUUUUGAACCGCAUGGUUCAAAAGUGAAAGACGGUCUUGCUGUCACUUAUAGAUGGAUCCGCGCUGCAUUAGCUAGUUGGUAAGGUAACGGCUUACCAAGGCAACGAUGCAUAGCCGACCUGAGAGGGUGAUAGGCCACACUGGAACUGAGACACGGUCCAGACUCCUACGGGAGGCGGCAGUAGGGAAUCUUCCGCAAUGGGCGAAAGCCUGACGGAGCAACGCCGCGUGAGUGAUGAAGGUCUUCGGAUCGUAAAACUCUGUUAUUAGGGAAGAACAUAUGUGUAAGUAACUGUGCACAUCUUGACGGUACCUAAUCAGAAAGCCACGGCUAACUACGUG
rnacentral:rRNA from 1 species